CUUUCGUGUCAAGAAUGCUAUGUUAUGCGAUACCCACACGCUGUAUACAGUUCUAGCGUGUCCGAUAUUUGGGUAAGUGCAAGCGGACUGGGAGGCGUAAAUGCGAACGUCCUGCACGGUGCAGCUACCAGCUGGUGGCGCAGAGCUCAAUCAGGCAAAACACCGAGCUAAUAUUGCAAUAACCAACUGUAUUCUACUUCGGUGCUGGUGUAAGUUUUUGGCGAGAUGAGCAAGUUUCACAUUAAUUCACCGCUUGAAAUACUGAGGGAAAUCUUCCGCGCUCUCUUGAACUCUGAGAAUGAACUGCCGACGCCAGCUUCGCUGGCCUUCGUGGUGGCUGUGGCGGCCGUCGUGCUAUGCCUUUACCAAUUGGGACCGUAGCGACAGCUGGCACAGCGGGGACGCAGCAGUGUUCUGUGCGAGCGCUGUCAGCGAGCUGGAACCGAUGUAGCUCCUGCAUGACUUGCUGAGCAUUUCGUUCAAGAAGGUCGACAACUGCGCCAUCCAGCACGCUGUCAGGACCAUCAUCAUGACCAUCACCAAGCAAGUCAAGCGAACCAUAGAGUUAGUAGAACAACUCUAGAGGAAAAGCUGGGCCGGAAAAGUGGGAACCUCUAGGGCGCCGCCCUGUUGCUACUGGUCAAUGUGGCCAGCGCAAUUACUAUUGAAAGAGCUGAAAACAAGUACAGGUCACUUAAUGCUUUGUCAUCUAAAAACGCAUACCUGAUGGCUUUAUGAAGGUGGAACGUUAUAUUAAAUUUACAGAAAGCGAUCGCUAAGUCCAUGACUUAUGUAAAUCACGAUGUACGCAUUCAUGCAAUAAAGGAUGACACGAAUUUCGGUUUCGAAUCUGUUUUUUGGUUGCAUAGUAGUUUCGUAUAGUUUAGGUUUGACAUGCGAUCGCGCGUCGACAUCGGACGCUAUGACACACUCGUUCGUGCCUUAUGUGCCACCGAAGCCCCGAAGUGCUCUGGCAUAUACCUUCACAUGUUUCCCUUCAGUAGGAAAUUGCUGGACAGGCAGACCAGCGCACCGGAAUUGUACUGGCGAAGCCACAAGCAACUCAAAGAAUCUGUUUAAUUGUUGCACUUUGAACAAUCAUGCUUCUACAAAGGCCACAGCAGAAAAACAGCCUGAUGCCGAAUAUUUCUGUGCCACGAAGUAAUCAAGAGGCGAGUGCCUAUAAUGCGGACGAAAUCGAGUGCAUCGAGACUUAGAACGACAGAAAGCUGAGCUAGUUGACAAUGCCUACGCCUAGCCACAGCAGCUCCCUCAUACAGACUCCGCAAGCCAAGAGGCCGUGGAGCCAAAUGCAGGCAGCCAGCACACCUCGAACAGCCACCUUGACUGCGGGUGUGUCACCCUAGUCGCCAAGGAAACAUUUGAGGGAAAGUGACAGGCAAUGUGAACAGCCACUUCUCCAUGUAAACAAUACUCUUUCUCUCGAAUGACUCCUACGCCUCGCCACGCCAGCACACUUGUGCACAAAGAUGCCGCAGAGGCACGUGCAGGUCAGAGGCAAGAAGCAGUGGCACUGGUGUCGACUUUUACCCAAUUUCUUUUUCUUACACUGAGGCAGCCAGCACACCUCGAACAGCCACCUUGACUGCGGGUGUGUCAGUAGAUUCCUGUUGUACAUAUGCUCAUAAUAAACUUCAGUAAACUUGAACUUCAUAAUAAACUUGAAGGCAAAUGGGA